rnacentral:rRNA from 1 species
UACGGGGGGGGCAAGCGUUGUUCGGAAUUACUGGGCGUAAAGGGUUCGUAGGUGGCUCGCUAAGUCAGACGUGAAACCCCUCAGCUUAACUGGGGAACUGCGUCUGAGACUGGCGAGCUCGAGUGCAGGAGAGGAACGCGGAAUUCCAGGUGUAGCGGUGAAAUGCGUAGAUAUCUGGAGGAACACCGGUGGCGAAGGCGGCGUUCUGGACCGAGAUUGACGCUGAUGAGCGAAAGCUAGGGGAGCAAACGGG